GGUCCGAUAGCUCAGUUGGUAGAGCAGCAGCCUUUUAAGCUGACGGUCCUGGGUUCGAGCCCCAGUCGGAUCA
rnacentral:tRNA from 1 species